AUACGGAAGGUCCGGGCGUUAUCCGGAUUUAUUGGGUUUAAAGGGAGCGCAGGCGGAGAUGCAAGCGUGACGUCAAAUUUCGGGGCUCAACCCCGUCUCGCGUCGCGAACUGCGUCCCUUGGUUGCGGGAAGGGGCGGCGGAAUUCCUAGUGUAGCGGUGCAAUGCAUAGAUAUCACGAAGAACUCCGAUCGCGAAGGCAGCCUUCCGGCCCGUCAACGACGCUCAUGCUCGAAGGUGCGGGUAUCAAACAGGAUUAGAUACCCUGGUAGUCCGCACAGUAAACGAUGGACACCCGCGGUUUGGCCUGUAUGGCUGAGCCGCCAAGCGAAAGCGUUAAGUGUCCCACCUGGGGAGUACGCCGGCAACGGUGAAACUCAAAUGAAUUGACGGGG
rnacentral:rRNA from 1 species